UGGUUGCAUCUAAAGAUAUUUUUUUCUUUGUAAUUCUUGGCCAAUAUGCAACAACUCUAUGUUACAAACCUAUCUCUUUGCUACAAAACCCAACCACUUUACCUUCUGAUAGUUUUAUUGAGUUUGACCAAACAUUAGCAUGUAUGUUUCAUAAACCUACCCUACUAUCCCACAAUACACAGUAAUACCCUGCUUUAGCAUAACCUAAUACUUAUGAUCUAGGGCUUCAUAGGUAUUGUUUGGAAAAGCAUUCAAACUCAAUAUUAUAAUUUUGUGGCCUAAGUUUAUUAUGUUGGUUUAUUAAUUAGCAAACUCAUAUAAUUAAUUAAACCACAACAAUAUUCUUAAUAACUUAUUCUAUUCCUGAACAUAUCAUUAUCGCCACCUUACGAUCUGCCGUAGUCACCUACCGUCAUAAUAUCCAUCGCCAAGACUACCUUUCAAAGCCCUUAAUUCAAAAAAACCAAAAGCGAAAGAAAACCCUAACUUGGAAAAACCCAUUCGAUAUUUUUCUGUGUUUAGAUUUGUGUUCUUCAUUGGGGGUUCGAUUUGAGUUGUUUUGGUUCAUUUUGGGUCUGGUUUGGGUUCCUUUGUGGUUCAAUCUGAUUCAUUUCCUUUUAGGUUUGUUUGACUUCAUUCUGGGUUUGAUUUGGGUUCGAAAGGUGGUUUGCACUUCGCAUUGGUGGUGAGGUAGGUGAUUUGAGUUGUGAUUUGUUUGAUAUGAAGGUGAGAUUUUCUUUGUUCGACCUUCAUCGAGGUUUGUUCGAAGCUUGUAAAAAUCCCAAUUCAUUUGCUUUGUUCAAGAUUUUGAGUUUCAUAAUUUCAAUAUUUCGGGUUAGUUUACAUGGUCAUCUGAUUUUCGAAUUGUUUCGUUGUGGUUUGAUUUCAUUUUCGAAUUGAUUAUCAAUUUUCCUUUGAUUUUCGUUUGAUUUUUUGGAUAUGAAUAUAAUCUCUUUGUAGUAGAAUUAUUCAUAGCAUCAUUGAGCUUUUGUGAAAUUACUGCUCUAUCUUGCUAUUUUAAACAUUCUAUUGUUGUUGCACAUUUAUAUAUAUAAUUUUUAUUUUGUUUGAUUACUUAUCUUAUUUGCUAACAUUUUCGUGAACUUUGAAUUCUGAGGGUGAAGGUUGGGAAUCUGAUUUACAAUUGACACACGUUCGAAGAUAUUGCAAGGUUUAUUUUUUUCAUGUCACAGUGGUAUAUGGAAACAUUGAUUUAUUUCUUUUUUCUAUUUAUUUGGAUUUGAUUUUGGUUUCUUGUAAGCCUUCCUAAUGCUUGAAACCUGGAACUUUUUUGUGAGUUAUAUUAGGAAUUUGAUGUGUCUUAGGGUUGAAAUUAUAGCUGCUCUUGAUAUUUUGGUAUUAAAGUUGUUCUGAUUUCAAAUUCUUGCUUACCCAAACACUAGAUUUGAUCCAAAUGCAGACUCUCAAAUGAAUUUCCAGUAUAACAGAGCAUUAAAUGGAUCUACUUACAAAGGUUGAAUUGAGUAAAACUUUGCUCAGAUUUUAGAUAUAGUGUGUGUUUCGGUAUUAAGGAUUUUUUAAAUAUUUUUUUUUAAUAAAUUUCAUGUAUCAAUUCAUUUUGCUAAAAUUUCCAUUAAUAACAUAUGCCCAUUGGGAGUAUUUAUCCUUCUAAAGCUUAAUGUUGUCAGUUAUGCCUACAUUUGUAGCAAUAACCAGAUCAGUUUGUCAUUUCUUAAAACAUUGCAGUGAUGUCGGAAAGCAUGAAGUAGAUGAUGUUUUAUGCAAUGGUCAGAAUAUACUCAUAUUGCUGUUUUGAAGUAUGUUAUUGUUGACCAUAUUACAACUUCUAAUGCUUGGUUUUGUUGCUCGAACAUUUAAAGGAGAAAUUUAUGAAGCUCACACGGUUGUCAUUGAUCUCUACUCGUAUACUGUUUCUUCGACCUGAUAUUUUUUAUGUGUAUUGCAAAAGACAAGAAAGGUAGGGCCUGUUCUCCCCAGCUUAUUUUCAGUUCAGUUCAAUUCAGUUCAGUUCAAUUCAGUUCAGUUCAGUUGAGUUCAGAUCAGUUCAGAUCAGAUCAGUUGAGUUAAGUUCAGCUUUUGACAAUACUUUUACUCUCACAUAUCACUAUUUAUUUCAGUUCAAUUCAGUUCAGUUCAAUUCAAUUCAGUUCAGAUCAGUUCAGAUCAGUUCAAUUCAGUUCAGUUCAGUUCAAUUCAAUUCAGUUCAGAUCAGUUCAAUUCAGUUCAGUUCAGUUCAGUUCAACUGUUUUAUGCCGAAAAGAACAGGCCCAUAGUCUAUUUUCCUGUUUUUAUGGUUCCACAACCAGUGCGUGUUCCAGGUCACACUCGGUACCAUGUUAUGUCAAAGGGCAUUAGUAGCUAAUGAAUAGCCAUGCAUCUUAGAUUAAAGCCUGAUCUUGCGGUUGUUUCUUAAUUCUGAUGUCUUAUUAUCUUAAGAGAUGUAUCCUUUCUCAGUAAUUUCUAGUUUCUGGGAAUUGCUCGUAGAUGUCAAGUUAAAUUAUGACAAAGCCACAUGGAGGCAGCAACUUACAUGCUGAGUAUCAUAAAACAAUAUUACAGGAGUUGUCAUUGUCUAAUCUGCUUGGAUCAAAAUUUAUCAGUUGUCUCUCUCAAAUAUUAAGUACAUGGAUUUUUCGUGGCUACAAUUUCACUUAUGAAUCACUAGGGGUGGUUAUCUGUUAGGGUACCCUAAAGGCUAAAGCGUUAGGUUCAAGAUAAAACUAUGAGAGGGUUUAUAUUAUUGGACAAGUUUGUUAUUAGAUAAAGCUUUAUUGGACAAGUUCCACUCAAGGCCAAAAUGUGAUCAUGUUUCAAAAUUCACAUGUAUACUAUAGUAUUCUCACGUACUAAAUUCAAUGUAAAGCUGACUGAUCUUACAAAGAAAAGAUCAUUGACUCAUGGUCUGCUGUAAACUCAUGCUUUGGGGGCUAAUAUGCUGACAAAAGUCCUUGAUCUACUGAUUGAGUAUAAGGCACAGUUCAAGUAGAAGAAACCAUUGGAAUUUGAUUACAAUAUACGACAAGCAAUUAUACUUUGGCCGGGAAUAGGUGAAUCCUUUUUUUCCCUAAACAAUGUGUAUAUUCAAAUUUGGGAAUUAACAAUGUCUAAUAGAUUGUUGAUGAUCACAAUAUCGCAAUGUCUCAACAGUAUUGACAAGAGGAAAGCCCAAUUGUAUAAUUCUUAAUUUUUAUCACAAUGUGUAUCUUUUUCAUGCGGCCAUUUUCUUACUAAACUUUCUCUAGGUUUUUUUGCAGAUCAUUUAGUUUUCUUACAUGAAAUUGAUCUCAUACUUUAUACUUUCAUAGGUGAGAUAAGAAAUGCUACAAUCAAACCCUAUGUGAUUUGCUUCUCAACCUAUCUCACCACCUAAACCUCCAUUUCAUCCUCGUCAAUUUGAAAGAUGUGCAGUUGUUGAAAAUUUUGGAGAUCAAUUAAUGAUAGAAUUUGGUGAAGAGACUGACAGUUAAGAUGGAGAGAUUAGCUAGCUUAUAUUAGGAUUGUUGUUGCUUGAAUUUUGCUUUUUGUUCUUGUUUCUUUGGUUUAGUUUUUUGUAUGCAGGGUGGCUUGCAUAUGAUAGGCCUAACCUUGGUGAACCCUUCCUAGUUAGUGGCCCUAGGAAGGGCAUUGGUGCAGAUUAUGCCUCCUUGCCAGGAUGGUUUUGCUAUAAGCUUCUAGUUUUUUAUGUUUCCCUAUUUGGAUGUAUAGUUGGCCUGCUUUGGCUAAAAUUUUUGUUUGUGUACAAAUUUCUUUUAUAUAUAUAAAAUUUCUCUCCAUUUCUCAAAAAAAAUAAAUAAAAUUAUGUUGCAUCUGAA